CAGUAAUACUCGACCAAAAAUUUAGGAAUCAAAAGGUAUGACGAAUUUGUGUUUGACUUGAAAACGUUAUUACAGAAAUCGUAAUUUGUUUUCGUGUUCCUGAGUAGUUAAAAAUUUGCGUAAUUAUUUCAGCAUUUUUCAAAUGUAAUUACAUUUCUGCAUUGCCAAAUUGUUUCGAUAUUAGGUAACUUUACUACCCAUUUAUUGUGACAAAUCAGACACACCUUAUAUAUUCGAAGAACUUUGGUGCUCGUCUUGCUGGACGGUUGACAGCUUGAACUGACGUUUCAUUGUGUUUGAAAUUUUCACGCUUCAAACGAGUCGCUCUGUUUCUGCUGCUACUUUUUCAUUUAUAAUCAGUUAAUUUGCCAAUAAACGCAGAAAAUUUGGUGGAAAUGUGAAAAAAGCUUGCUGCUCUUCCCGCUGGCCCUGCGGAAGGCUAAUUUGGCUGAGAUUUUACAAGUUAGCCAUUUCCUAGUGGACUGAAUCAACUGGAACCGGCCCUCAAUGUUCUCCGCCGUGAAAUCAUUUUGUUUCUUCGAAACAGGUUCAUCAAUCAACUCGGGAGUGCGAGAGCUCGAGCCUCGUUGCCGAGCCAUGGAUGGCGCCGCGAAAGUUCUCAAUUCUUGAAUGUUCUGCCCUGAAGGAUGCCCAACACAGGAAAAGAAAAUAAUUUGGAAAUAAAUAAUGCUGUGUGGAAACGCGUCUUGUUCUUAUUAUUUCUCGAAGGGAACCAUUUUUGGGCAUGGGCACAUCUCACUCAUACAGGCGCAAAAGCAAGCUACUCGCACUAAUACAUCAACAAACUAUAAGAUGAAUGAGUUCACUAAUACAAGAAAACAAAGUAUACAUGUGUUGGUGUAAAAGUGGUUGAAAAAGCUCGAAUAUUUCUUGCGGGUUUCCCUCUCGUAGAUUGUGCGUGAUUUCUCACCUGUCCGUGCAUGGAAGCAUUUCCCACUUCUUUUGACAUUUUGACAUUUUGACAUUUUGACAUUUUGGCAUUUUGACAUUUUGACAUUUUGACAUUUUGACAUUUUGACAUUUUGACAUUUUGACAUUUUGACAUUUUGACAUUUUGACAAUUUGACAUUUUGACAUUUUGACAUUUUGACUGUUCGACAAUUUGUCAAUUUCUCGGGUGAGUUUUCAAAAAGCCGUAAGAGCCACUGUGACCUCUUACACUAAUUUUCGUUUUUCUCGAAAAUGAUACAAAAUUUCAUUUAUUUUAAGUAUGGGGCACUUUAAGGACGUGUAGAUGAACAAUCUCGAGCAUUUUAAAGUUUGAAGUUACAAAAAUAAUAAUGUCAAGAUAAUUACUAAACCUACCACAGAUAUCUUUUGGUAAUUUUGCUGCUCUUCCCGCUGGCCCUGCGGAAGGCUAAUUUGGCUGAGAUUUUACAAGUUAGCCAUCUCCUAGUGGACUGAAUCAACUGGAACCGGCCCUCAAUGUUCUCCGCCGUGAAAUCAUUUUGUUUCUUCGAAACAGGUUCAUCAAUCAACUCGGGAGUGCGAGAGCUCGAGCCUCGUUGCCGAGCCAUGGAUGGCGCCGCGAAAGUUCUCAAUUCUUGAAUGUUCUGCCCUGAAGGAUGCCCAACACAGGAAAAGAAAAUAAUUUGGAAAUAAAUAAUGCUGUGUGGA